UGGGGAAUAUUGCACAAUGGGCGCAAGCCUGAUGCAGCCAUGCCGCGUGUAUGAAGAAGGCCUUCGGGUUGUAAAGUACUUUCAGCGGGGAGGAAGGCGAUGCGGUUAAUAACCGCGUCGAUUGACGUUACCCGCAGAAGAAGCACCGGCUAACUCCGUGCCAGCAGCCGCGGUAAUACGGAGGGUGCAAGCGUUAAUCGGAAUUACUGGGCGUAAAGCGCACGCAGGCGGUCUGUCAAGUCGGAUGUGAAAUCCCCGGGCUCAACCUGGGAACUGCAUCCGAAACUGGCAGGCUUGAGUCUCGUAGAGGGGGGUAGAAUUCCAGGUGUAGUGGUGAAAUGCGUAGAGAUCUGGAGGAAUACCGGUGGCGAAGGCGGCCCCCUGGACGAAGACUGACGCUCAGGUGCGAAAGCGUGGGGAGCAAACA
rnacentral:rRNA from 1 species